GGUGGAAGAAUAUGGUGAUGAUAAGAUGGAGAGAGAGCCUGUGAAAGUACUGCUACGCUUAAGCUUAGUAUUGAAGAGUUGGAAAUUCUUAUUGAAUCUUACUGUGUGCAGAUGGCAUGAUGAAAACUUAUUUUGUGUUAUUGCAGUAGCAGUUCAUUGGCCUGGGGCCAAGCACGGUGUGUGACCACUCUGCCGAUGGCGGCGGCAUGGACUGAGAUAUUGGUUUUGAUCACUAGGAAGGCUUAAGCUGGCCCAUCUUUGAUUUUAUAGAUUGGAAAGAAAUAACCAGAUGUACUCACUGGAAUGGCUUCACAUGGCGGUAAUAAGAUUUUUUUUGGAUAAUUAGCCUACAUUAAUU